rnacentral:rRNA from 1 species
CCCCCUACGUCAUUUGUCGAUCAAACCUACCAUUAUUUUAAAAGUAAUGAUGAGCUGAUAGUAGCGAAAGAGGAAGGGACGGGCUAACUCUGUGC